GAUAAACUUUUCAUUUAUUUUUCGACUUUUGAUUUAAAAAAUAACUGAAUAAAAUACAUUACUCUAUUACAUUAUCAAAUUGACAAAAAAAGCUUAUUUAAAUUUAAUAAAGUAGGCAGAUUUAAAAUGCAUAUUGUGCUCGAUUUGAGAUUUGAGGAUAAAGUAAAAAUUUUCAAUACAGUGGAAAGUUAAAAAAGAUUUUCUAUUCAAUGAUACAGUCGCAAGCAAAAAAAUUGGAUUAACUUCCAUGGAAUUUUCCACAUGAAUUCGAGUCUGGCCCACGGACUGUAAUUUGGUUUAGUUUUUUUAUGCUUUGACGGUGGCAAAAAAGCACGCCCUCUUCCAGAUGGUAUGGGGACACUUCAGCCUAUGAACUACGACCAUAAUAUUUAGGUUGAAAGUGUAUACCUUUUUAACUUUCCACUUUCUAUUACAGUUUUCAGAUCUAUUAAAUAAGCAACUUAAUAAUGAAGCUAAUUUAAGUUACAAAGUCAAUUUCAAAAACCUUAUACGACUAUGUACAAGUAAUAAUUAAUAAUUAUAUAUAAUUAAUAUAUAAUAAUAUAAUGUCAAUAUUAAAAGCGACACGUCUAAUUUUCUAUCACAACGUGGAAAGGCAAUUUUAAAAUAUUUGGACCAUUCGCUUGCAAGGAAAUAUAAACUAAGCUGCGUCUGCCAAAAAUGUUUUAUUAUAUUAAUGCGAAAACUUAAUUAUAUUAAUUAUACACGAAAAAUCAUUAUGCUAAGUAUAAUAAAAGAGUAACCAAUAAUAUACAGGGUGAAAUUUAAUUCACUGGCCAAAUUGAAACAACCGAAGGAACUCGAAAAAAUAUUAAACACGUGUUUUUUCUUUUAAUACCGCUCAGUACAUUUUUUUCGAAAUAACUCAUCAUCAAGUUGUCCUAAAAACCUCGUACGUUAUGGCGAACCGACAACUACCCACUACACCCGCUUCUCUCUUAUCAGUUAAGGUCAUUGACACCCUGCCCCUCCCGCUGUUUGCAAUCGCGUCACCAAUAAUGAACCCUAUUGCAGCGAGAUUACCUACAUAAGUUGCUAAUUUUUCCUUUCAUACUUUAACGGGCUUAGAACCGUCAAAAUGCAAAGGCAACCCAUUUUUAAUCUAAAAUGUUAUUUCUGACUAAUGAUUAUUAACAAAACGUCCGUGGCUUAAAAACAAUGAGUAAAAACUAGGUCAGGAAUCUUUGCAUUCAGGCGUAUUUAAAAAAUUGAAUCAACUUACGUACAUUUGAUUAAAAUCGACGCAAUUAACGAAAGUCCCACGAGAUGGUACUCGUGGAUUCAAUCCUUGUCUGCGAAGGCGUGGAACGGAUUCCAUUUCGUAUAAUCUUUGUGCACCACGUAAACACUCACCACUUAAUAAAUAACACCGUACCACUUCGUAAUAUUCCCGGUUCGAAAACAUUUUUUUUAACCUUAUUACGCGCGCAAUUAUUAUUUUAAGGUUGGCGAGUGACGAGUGACUAAUCAUUUAUGCUUACCGUUAUGUUUACCGCUAGCGCGGAAUGGUUUAGUUUAGACUACCCUCGAAAUUGAUAAACCUGCCUACCAUCGCCAACACUAACUGGGUGGACCCUAUUGCAACGAUAUAAGGUUUAGUGAAGGUCAGAUAAGGGUUUGCUGAUGUUGUUGUUAAAACCUACUAUUAGGUUUGUUUACAUUUGUGGUAAUAGGGUGACCACGACUCGUGGAAAAUAUUUAAAAAUUGAAAAAUGAAAAUUCAAAAAAAAUGUACUCUUUUUUUUCGCUAAAUAGAUUCCUUAAGUGUAACCUAGUGCCGGGAAUGAAUAUGGCCAGUGAUUUAAAUUUCACCCUGUAUAACAUAGAACUAUUCAAAUUUUAGACUAUUUUUACUCAGAUCAAGUUACAGAAAGUCAUGAAAUUAAAAAGAUAAAUGUACAUCAAGAAUGUAAUAACUAAUUUUAAAGUUCCGUUAGCAAAAUACUUCAAAAUUUUGGAAUGUUCGGGCGAGGCGGGGAACAGCUCAAAGCCUUGUUCAAGGCUUAAUUGUCAGAAUAGGUAAUUUUUGACGAUACUUGCGUACAGUCAGCAAAACUUUGAUACUUAUUUGUAUGCAGGGGUACUAAGCUUAAUAGUUUUUUUAACUGUACAACUUUCCCGCACGCCCUCGUUUCGAGAAAAGCCUUCGUAAAUAAAUAAAGAACUAUCCCAUCUCUGUAACUACGACGUAGUUACUAGUUCGGCACCGCAGUGAGCCUGUAACGCCUCCGACGUAGUUACGAGUUCGGCACCGCAGUGAGCCUGUAACGCCUCCGACGUAGUUACAAGUUCGGCACCGCAGUGAACAACUAAUUCGUGCCUUUGAUGUCGGAGCGGACCGACUGGAAUGUCAUUACAGAAAUAACGAGACACGGAGUACAGGCUAGCCAGCAUAAGUAAGCUCUUUGAUUUUAUUAUAGAGAUUAUCAUUUCAUAGAGAUUAUGUUGCUUUGUUUUUAUAAUAUAAGCUGAGAGAUAGAAGUAAAGUUGCAUGGAGAAAGAAGAAACAGCCUCUCACGUGGUGUUGGAAUGCAGCGUCCCCAUACAGGGCAAAACAUCUCGGAUCCCCGAGUGAACUCCCCGAGGUCCUACUCAACAUCAAAGGUUUGAUAGGAUUCCUCGAGGAGCUGGGCUGGCAAGACUAGUCCACCCCCUAUCACGCAAAAUAGGCGCAAUACGUCGAGUUGUGGAAAAUCACCCGAACUACAAUACAAUAGAAGUAAAGUUGUCUAAGACAAAACUGUGACUUCAUUGUUAAGCUGAUUCCUCAAGCACACGUAUAAAUAAAGGCACAGAUGUACUUUACUUUCUCGAACUAGUGCGGGAAAGAGCACUUUCCGUGCGUAAGUCGAAAGAUUAAAGGGCUAUAUGUUCUGUAAAAUAUACGAUACACGUGCGAAUAGGUAAUUCGCAACUCGUGUCGAUUUAAAACACUACCAUCGGUCGUUGGCUCAUGGCUAGGUUCUUUGGAACGGAGUAUGUAUUCUAUUAUUUCUGUGAUACCCUUCUGACGGUUGGAUUAAAAAAAAAUUGCCAGUGUAAAUUUAACUCUCUCAAAUUGACAAAGAGUCGAAAAUUGAUUGGGGCCUAUGUACGGUAGAAAGUAUUAAAUGACCCAUUUCGUACCUUGUCAUAAAUUGAUACUUUCCACUGUCCUGCGUAUAGGAGGCUGGUCGUCAGGAGGAUACAGAUUAUGUGGCCGUUGGGAAUAGGACCGCCUGUGUUUGUAACUGAAGGGUCGAGUGUAAGCAAUGUUCCGCCGUAACAUUUCGAGGGCUAAAUACCGAAAGGUAAUUCGCUUAGUCUUGCUUCUGGUAAAUAGAAGAUAGAGGGCUAUUUAGAAACGUUUUCAUUCAUGAAACUUAAUGCGUAACUUUAUGUAAUCAUUCCAAGCAAUAUUGUAUUUUGGAUAAUGUUGGCUUCAUAAAAUAGAAUAAAAAAACUAAGCAUUAACAAUUCCAUCAUAUAAUCUAAACAGAAUUUAGUCCGUGAACAAAGUUUUGUACGGAACACUAAAAACUAGCGGCUUUGUUAGUCUGCGGCUUGUUGGUCGCUUAAAACAGAAUAAGUAACGGUAUUCCUCUGCCAUUUAGGAUUCGCCAAAAAAAACCCUUUAAUUAUCGAAAUUUAACACUAAAUUCUGCUCUCGAAAUUUCAUUUUUAAAUGGCUAAUACAGCAGAGGAGAAUAGCCGGAAAACCAUACGAAAGCAAUGAAUAUUUCUAUCAUACCAAUAGUGUUGAAUUUCUUUUCUUUUCUUUUGCAUGUACGAGUAUAAUGUAUAAAAAGAAAUAUUCUUAGUGCCAUGACAGGUCGACGUAUAAUAAGUGAUAUAAUAUAAAUGUAAUAUGAAGAAAAAAAAAAUGAAAAAUUAUAUAUUUAGGUAAAGGUUUCGUUUUAAUAAUACAGUUAAUGGAGUCUCCUAGUAAGUAUAAUAUACCUGUGACUUUCGAAUGAUCCUUGGAACAUGGCGGAUCGUGCUCCAGACAUUUUUUUUUAUUUUUUGCAUUUUGCUGUUUAAUGUAUAAUUUAGAUAGCAUAUUAUGCAGUGAAAAGCAAGUGUGACGGGUGCAGAUAAUGAAGAAUUCUUCUGGAAAUACGAAUAAGUAACCAAUUCUUGGACAUCAUUCGGCGGUUCGUGGUCUCGGCCGCCAUUACGCUUUGUACUGCUGCUCCGGCUAUCCUCCAGUGCAUCGUGGAGGCCUAUCACCGUACAUCAUGCAUUAAUACUUUGUAUUAUGAAAUAUUUUACUUGUGAUAUAUUACUGUAUUUUGGCAAAGGCCCAUGAGGCUGCCACUUCUCCAAUAAACAACAUGUAAUAUGAAGUAAUGUGUUGCGUUACGUGACACCCACAUAGUUACGGUAUUGUUUACUUCCCUGCCCUCUGAGGUAUUACGAAGGAUUAUUUAACAUAUAAACAACCUACUGAAGAGAUAGAUAUCUUAGAUAAGUUUGCCUUUGUUGUAUAUAUAAUUUUCUCUGUAAUAGUGUUUCUGGCAGACCGAGUGCGCGUUUGCCAGUUCAGUGGAACAUGUCUCUCACUAGUUAAAAAUUAUACGAGUACUUAAUGAUAGUUAAAAAGUUAAUAAAAAAACAAAGUUGAGUUGAAGUUAGUUAAAGUUAAUGUAAAAAAAUGUAAUAAAUGUGUUUUGGUCCAGCACUGUAUACUUGCAUGUGGUUUAAGUAAAUAAAUAAAAAAUCGAUUUAAAUAAUAAUAGUGUUUUUGGCAGACGCUAGCCUAAAACUGAUCUAAUCUAAGCUCGGAUCGGACUAAUGGGUCGUGUGCAGGCAAAGUCAGGGGCAGGACAGUCUGUAUUUUUUUUAUUCAUUCUCUUUAUCGAUAAAGCAGCAGUUGCUUAUAGUUUAACCCCCUUAUUCAUACUGCCGUAUUCGAAGUUCAAGAUAUUCACAAGAGAAGACACGUACUAGAUCCAUUCUAGAUACGUUAUAAUUUAGAUAUCAAUUAGUUCUCUUGUGCAGCGCAAUUCGGGCAUUGCAGCGUAAUUUAACUAAAUCAGGCCCAUAUUGUUUUAUGAAUAAGGGGGUUAGCAGUCAACGCAAAAAAUACGCGUGUGUGGUUACGACGGAGCCCGAAAAAAGGGGAAAAGGAUACGUUUUUCAAGAUAUCCUUCGGCAAGAUGAAACAUCAAUUCCAAAAACUUUCGUUCGCCCCUAAUUUCACUUGCACAUUAGGGCUUGUGCACAAAUCACGCGAGAUCCGAUAGGGGGAGGGGGGUAUAAAGGACACACACCUGACGUGUAUUUUUCUACAGUGAAAGAAACUAAGAAAAUAAAACCUACCACAUAAGUAGAUACUUCUUCUCGGUUUCUUUAAACAUAGAUCUUCACUCUGCACUUCAAAAUAGCGAGUCUAUUUAACGAAAAUAUAAAAAUAAACACGAUUUUCUAUAUAUAAGACUAUUUAUCUUAAAAUUAGAUGGAAUGAAAAAAAAAUCAAAUAAAUACACGUGAGGUUGUGUGGGGGAGGGGGGUUGCCAAAAACCUCACCAAAUAUCACCAAGGGGGAGGGGGGGAGGUAAAAAAGUAGCCGAAAACAACUCGCGUGAUUUAUGCACAACCCCUUAUUCUAAAUACACUUACAUUAAACAAGGAAAUGAAAGUGGCUGCGUUGUGGGACCCUGUCGCAUUAUAAUUCGAUACAGUACGGAUAUGAUGGUUGCGCUUUCACCGUCUAUCAUGCAACGACACCCUCGUCACAGUACCCGGUCGCAGUCUGCCAGCUAACGCGGCUCUGUGGCUCCUGACGAAGCUCCUCGUUAGAGAGACGAUGACAGACGAUGAGACCGCAACCAUUUUAGGCCCGCAGAUUAAAGCACACUUGUAAACGGAAUUGGUCAGUGAGAUACGAUAUUUUAUAAUUAAGUCGGUGCCAUCGUAAUUUCUAAAAAGGGUUCAUAGUAUCAUAGUGUAUUUAUGAUGCAGUACUUUAACCCUUUACUACCAAAGCGUAGCGUGCAAAGGGUUAACAAUAGUUUAUUUCUUACACAAAAUUAUAUUGAAAUAAAUCAUCUUGCUUCGCUUGAGAUGAUGUUUGUUUUCAGGUUAGCACAAAUAAAAUUUAAAAUAUAUUCUUUGUAUUCUACUGUUUUCAUAAAUACACUGUGACGCAAGUAAGUAUCUUCACACAAAAAAAGAAAUUGCUUUCGUUCCCUUUCUUUUCUCAUUAACUGUAUAAGUUUUUGUGUGCGUUAACGUAGCGGACCAGCUCCAUGAUUACUUUCGGGAGACUACUCAAAGGCAUAGUAUACAAAAGAGAACAGUAAAAAAGAAAUAAGAGGAAGAUAUAAGGGUUGAAAUGGGAACUCAAUGGGUUAUAUAAGAAAAGUUUGCGGUUCUUUCCUUGUUGUUCAAGUAGAUUUUUUCCUUUAUUAUGGUAGUAUAGCCACGAUAUUUUAUUUAGUUAGAUGUUUUAUUAAUCGAAUUUAUUGAAUUAUGAGACGCGUUUAUACACUUUAUAAUAAUUUAAAUCAAACUAAUUUUACGGUUUAACCCUUUGUUUAUGCAUGACCGAAAUUUUAGUCAUCUUUUUGCAUUUUUUCGAGAACAAGUUUUUCUGUUCUACCUUAUGAAAAGUUAACACAAUAUUUCUGAGAGUCUGGAACUUGAUUUUCACAGACAGCGUUACGUUUUCCACGUGCUAGUACUAUUCGCUAUGUUUUUGUAUUUUUAUUACAUAUAAUUAUAUAGGUACACUGGAAAGUAAUCGAAAUGGAAUUUAUUUAUAUUCAUCUACAAGCGGAAGUCCUGCAUUCUUUUAUAAUAACGAAAAAGUUUUCGUUCAAGUAUCAAGUAUGCUUUGUAUUUCGAUAUUUAACAUAACUUAACGAUUUUAUUAUUAUUAUUCCCCCAAGACUAAGGUUAUAGCAAUAUCUGUAUAAGAAGCUCGCCACGAGCAACUUGCUAUAAUAAAAGUUUCAAGUAUACGUGAGGCCAUCAAAUAUUUGACUGGAUGCAAUAACAAGCCUUAUUAGGGUCACCCCACACUAGCGUUCUCCCGAGCGUCGGCGUUUAGUAAACUCUGUGGCUGCUGCUCGACGCAACGUUGGCGCAACUGCGCAGCGACGCCAUUUUCCAUAGCGCUGACUAGACGCCGACGCUCAAAAGACGCUAGUCUGGGGUGAAUGACACUUU